GCUCAGUAACACGUCGAUAAUCUCGCCUUUGGGUCUGGGAUAACGUUGGGAAACUGACGAUAAGACCGGAUAAGGAAAUCCUACUGGAAGGUGGAUUUCUUCAAACUCGCGGCCCAAGGAUGAGUUGGCGGCGGAUUAGGUUGUUGGCGAGGUAAUGGCUCACCAAGCCGAAGAUCCGUAGGGGCCUUGAGAGAGGUAGCCCCGAGAAGGGCACUGAGAUACUGGCCCUAGCUCCACGGAGUGCAGCAGGCGCGAAACCUUUGCAAUGCGCGAAAGCGUGACAAGGGAACCCCAAGUGCUGAUACAUUGUAUCAGCUUUUAUUUAGAGCAAAUAUCUAAGUGAAUAAGUGGUGGGCAAUACCUGUGCCAGCCGCCGCGGUAACCCAGGAGCCACAAGUGGCAACCACCUUUAUUGGGCCUAAAGCGUCCGUAGCCUGUUCUGUAAAUUUUCUGUGAAAUCGUUGCGCUUAACGUAACGGCGUGCAGAAAACACUGUAGGACUUGGGACCGGGAGGAGUCAGAGGUAUUCUGGGGGGAGCGGUAAAAUGCUAUAAUCCCCGGAGGACCACCUGUGGCGAAGGCGUCUGACUAGAACGGAUCCGACGGUGAGGGACGAAAGCUAGGGGAGCAAUCCGGAUUAGAUACCCGAGUAGUCCUAGCUGUAAA
rnacentral:rRNA from 1 species